CCUACGGAGGCUGCAGUGAGGAAUAUUGGUCAAUGGGCGCGAGCCUGAACCAGCCAAGUAGCGUGAAGGAUGACUGCCCUACGGGUUGUAAACUUCUUUUAUAAAGGAAUAAAGUGAGGCACGUGUGCCUUUUUGUAUGUACUUUAUGAAUAAGGAUCGGCUAACUCCGUGCCAGCAGCCGCGGUAAUACGGAGGGUCCGAGCGUUAUCCGGAUUUAUUGGGUUUAAAGGGAGCGUAGAUGGGUUGUUAAGUCAGUUGUGAAAGUUUGCGGCUCAACCGGAAAAUUGCAAUUGAUACUGGCAGGCUUGAGUAUAGUAGAGGUAGGCGGAAUUCGUGGUGUAGCGGUGAAAUGCUUAGAUAUCACGAAGAACCCCGAUUGCGAAGGCAGCUUACUAAACUGUGACUGACAUUGAUGCUCGAAAGUGUGGGUAUCAAACAGGAUUAGAUACCCUAGUAGUC
rnacentral:rRNA from 1 species